rnacentral:rRNA from 1 species
CGUAGAGUAGUUCGACGUCGUCGCACGAGAGACGCUGGCGGCGUGCCUAAUACAUGCAAGUCGAGCGGACGUUUUUGAAGCUUGCUUCAAAAACGUUAGCGGCGGACGGGUGAGUAACACGUGGGCAACCUACCUUAUCGACUGGGAUAACUCCGGGAAACCGGGGCUAAUACCGGAUAAUAUCUAGCACCUCCUGGUGCCGGAUUAAAAGAGGGCUUCUUGCUCUCACGAUGAGAUGGGCCCGCGGCGCAUUAGCUAGUUGGAGAGGUAACGGCUCCCCAAGGCGACGAUGCGUAGCCGACCUGAGAGGGUGAUCGGCCACACUGGGACUGAGACACGGCCCAGACUCCUACGGGAGGCGGCAGUAGGGAAUCUUCCGCAAUGGACGAAAGUCUGACGGAGCAACGCCGCGUGAGUGAUGAAGGGUUUCGGCUCGUAAAGCUCUGUUAUGAGGGAAGAACACGUACCGUUCGAAUAGGGCGGUACCUUGACGGUACCUCAUCAGAAAGCCACGGCUAACUACGUG